rnacentral:rRNA from 1 species
AUUGAACGCUGGCGGCAGGCCUAACACAUGCAAGUCGAGCGAGCGGCGGACGGGGGUGUAAUGUCUGGGAAACAGCCUGAUGGAGGGGGAUAACCACUGGAAACGGUAGCUAAUACCGCCUACCAUCUGAUGUGCCCAGACGGGAUUAGCUGGAUGGUGGGGUAACGGCUCACCUAGGCGACGAUCCCUAGCUGGUCUGAGAGGAUGACCAGCCACACUGGAACUGAGACACGGUCCAGACUCCUACGUGAGGCAGCAGUGGGGAAUAUUGCACAAUGGGCGCAAGCCUGAUGCAGCCAUGCCGCGUGUGUGAAGAAGGCCGUCGGGUUGUAAAGCACUUUCAGCGGGGAGGCGUUACCCGCAGAAGAAGCACCGGCUAACUCCGUGCCAGCAGCCGCGGUAAUUC